rnacentral:rRNA from 1 species
UACGUAGGGUGCAAGCGUUAAUCGGAAUUACUGGGCGUAAAGCGCACGUAGGCGGAUUGCUAAGUCAGGGGUGAAAUCCUGGAGCUCAACUCCAGAACUGCCUUUGAUACUGGCGGUCUCGAGUCCGGGAGAGGUGAGUGGAACUGCGAGUGUAGAGGUGAAAUUCGUAGAUAUUCGCAAAAACACCAGUGGCGAAGGCGGCUCACUGGCCCGGUACUGACGCUGAGGUGCGAAAGCGUGGGGAUCAAACAGG